AGGACGAACGCUGGCGGCGUGCUUAACACAUGCAAGUCACGGGGGCCCGCAAGGGCAACCGGCGAACGGGUGCGUAACACGUGAGCAACCUACCGAGAUGUGGGGGAUAGCCGGCCCAACGGCCGGGUAAUACCGCAUACGCUCUUUCCACGGCAUUGUGGAUUGAGGAAACCUCCGGGGCAUUUCGAGGGGCUCGCGGCCUAUCAGCUGGUUGGUGCGGUCACGGCGCACCAAGGCGACGACGGGUAGCUGGUCUGAGAGGAUGGCCAGCCACAUUGGGACUGAGAAACGGCCCAGACUCCUACGGGAGGCAGCAGUGGGGAAUCUUGCGCAAUGGCCGAAA
rnacentral:rRNA from 1 species